UUAAUUUCUUUGGGUAAUUGUCUGCUUUGAAUGUAAUGUGCUUGCGAGUGUAAAUUUGGAUUUUAAAUGGGUUUUUUGUUCAAAUUUUUUGGUUGUGAUUUUGGGAAUUUUGUUUUGUAGCUUCGGAUUAUAGGUGAUGAUGGUUAAUUUGGUUUUGUUUUCGAUUUCAGGAGAUUGGGUUUUUCGAGUUUGUGACUGUUCUUUGGAGCCUGCGAAGACCUGUGUGUUUAAGGAGAUUGGGUUUUUCGAGUUUGUGACUGUUCUUUGGAGCCUGCGAAGACCUGUGUGUUUAAGGAGAUUGGGUUUUUCGAGUUUGUGACUGUUCUUUGGAGCCUGCGAAGACCUGUGUGUUUAAGGAGUUGUGGGUCUUCAUUUUUUGGGGCCUUUUUCUCUGCCAUUGUAACAUUUUCGUAAUAGAGUUUUAAGAUUUUUGGAGGACUACAACAUAUCAAGUAUGGAGGGAAUUGAUAGAAGCGAUAUGUCAGAGGUUGUUACCUUAUCUGCAUUAUUCCUCUUUUGUACAUAUGAUAUAUUUUUUCUUCUUUUUCAAAAAUAAAAUAAAAUUCAUUAUGUUUAGCAAUUUCUCAA